GUUGGUGUUUUGGUUUUUUUUUUACUUUUUUUUUCAUGUUGAUAGUCUUUAUUUUUGAAUGAUCUAUUUAGAUAUCUUAGGAGUCAUAUCAGGUUACUCAGACUUUAAAUCCUUAUCAGCACCAUCUCCACUUUUUUUUUUUCUACAGACUUCUAACUAUGGAACCAAAUCUACUUUUUUUAAUCAUGUAGAAAUUACCUGUUUUUUCAAGAGAUUUAUCAAUAAUUAACAACAUUUGGAAAAGCCCUGUAUCCUUUAAAAAUAGUAGAUUGUACUGUCAUUAUCUUUCCUUUCUCAUUUAUAUAUUUGUGGCUUUCAUCAGUCUUUUCAAAGCAAUUUGAAUAAUAAUAAUCAUAAUAAUUAUUAUUUAAGUAUCAUUAUCUUAGUCACACCUGAAAUAUUGCCUUUUUUGAGUCUCUAGUAAUGAAUGUGUAAUUUGUUCCUAGUUUCCUUAAUACUUCUCUGAUACUUCUGUGCUCCCAAAAUACAGUUAUGGCAAUAGAUGCUUCAAUUUUUGGGAAACUGUUCUUAUUGUAAAGUGUUUUCUUUAGUGUUUUCUUUACCAAAUGCUGCUUGAAGGAAAUAAACACGACAUAAUAACUGGUUUUCAAUUCAUCCACUAAGUUUUUAUAUUAGGUUUUAACACUUCUGUCACUGAAACUCAGUAUUGCAUUACGUCUGUUGGCUGCUGCACAUGCUCACUAAACGAAUUAUUGUUUGCUGUUUUAAAAAUUAUACUUGCUAUUUGAAAGGAGUGGAGUGGAUGAUCCCCAGUAUCCCAUCUUUGGUUUUGUGUGCUAUAGUUCCUAAAUUCUACAUUAUCUGCUGGAAGGAUGAUCUAGACACAGUGAUGUACUGCGUCACUGGUAAGCUUGAAUUCCACUGUCUCAGUAUUAUGAUUCAUUCCACUGGGUUUCAGUUAUAUUUCCAAUACUUUGGGUUUUUUUCCUCUAUGUAUGAGUAUCUUCAAUUUUUCUUGCCUGUUACUUAAGCAGAUAAUGUUCAUUGCUGGGAAAUAUUAUUUUUUUAAAAAUAUGUCCUUUGAAGAGCUCAGUGUAGUUGUAUUUAUGUUGUGAAACUAACCUUACAUGACAGAGUGUUUGUGUCAUAAUUAGUCUAUUGAAUGAAAAACCUUUCUGGCUACCCAGUCAUGUUUAUUACUUUCGAGAGUGAGAUUUUACAAGGGUGACGCCAACUGAAGCAUAAAGCUCCCUCUACCAUUAAAGACUUUUCAGUUCUUCACAACCCAAAAUCCUACCUCUCAGUCCCACACUAACAUUUUUGCUCAGCCACAGCUAGCCUUACAGAUUUAGCAAAUUCCUAGUUCUUGAGGGAAAAGGGACGUUCAUGACAUAACUUUCUAGAUAUUCCCCUCCAACAGCCUAAGGUCUUCCUGGAUCAGUGGAACACAGGUUGGUAAGGUGUCAGAGGCAACCAAAGGAGGCUACUGCCAGAGGAAUCCCUCUUUAUCAUCUUUUCUCUUUCACUACUGGAACGAAGAAAACUGUCCUGGCUGUGAAAUGUCCUGUCUGUUCAGCUGCCCCUGGAGCCUUCUCUCCACAAGCAGGCUCUCACAACCUUGUGGGAGGUCAGCACAUUUUGAACUAGACCAUAGUUCAGUUCUUUCCUCCAGUUGCUUUUUCCGUCUCUUCAGAUGACUCAUUCAGGAUAGUGAUGUACCUUAGGUCCGUCUGUGAAGAUACCCUUUCAGUCAGACAGCCUGCAAAUUGACACUGGAGCUUGGUACGUUAGUGAAAUACAUAACUUUAAGAUGCAUACUCAGUCUUUGGCAGGCAACAAUUGCAGUGAUGUCUACAUUGUCACCAAAAUAUGAACAUUAGAACACUUUGACCAAUUUUGAAAAUUAUGAAAGUAAUAAAUACCUUCAUUAUUUUUUUUUCACAAACUCAUUUCUCACAAAUGAAUGAUUUGUCUUUAGAAGUAAAAUUGCAUUGUACUUAUUUCUGCAUGAUUUCCCGAAUUACCCUGAGAAGGUAUAAUUUUAUAAGAUUGACAAGAACAGGAAAAGUUUACAAGAGAGAAAUAAUCCAUCAGAUACCAAUUAUAUUGUGUCCUGUUACUUUAGCUUUGCAGUCUAGAUAUCUGGUAAAUUUAAAACAAACUGCUAAGUAAUUUCAGUUGGGCUUUUCCUGUUAUUUUUUCAGAUUUUUGCUUUCCUUUCUUUUCUGCUGUCACUUUAAUCAUCCAGGUUUUUUGUUUUGAUCAAAGUCAGAAAGAUAAUUGUUUUUAUUUGAAAAUAACUAGUACAACAUGAAUCUCUCUUGUCUUUUUUAGGACAUGCUUAUUUGUGAUCUACUCUAAUAAUUUACAGAGAUGCUUAAGAGAACCUGUACUCAUGGGUAUAAAACUGGCAAAACAGAAAUCCCUGUUAAUGUGAGAAAUAACUUUCUUUCACUUAGUUUAAGUACAGUGUUGAAAUGAAACAUUAGUACAAAGAGAUUUGUAUUUUAGAGAUCAAGUUAUUGUGGUAUUAUGGUAAUAAUAAAACAUUUUCAUAGGUCAUCAAGCUUAUAAAGAAAAUGAUUGAUAAGGUUAGGGAAUCUCUACAGAAAAUUAAGGCUAUUUAACGUAUUCAUGACAGACCCCUGAAAACAAUAAGAGCCUUAUUAAGAACUUCUGUUGCUAGGAGACAGUAACCACAGUGUCAGAAUAACAUGUUUUUAUUUCAUAUAAGAACUGCUGGUUAACACACAUAGUUAGAUAAUGAGUAAGGAUAGCUAGGUGAUGUAAAAGACUGCAUGAAAUGAUUAAUUUGUGAGAUAUGAAGCUAAUAAAAACUGCAGGUCUUUAAAAGCUACCUUAGCGUAGUGUGCCCCAAGAACAGACUGAUGACCAAGACUUGUUUGAAGCUUGACCAGCAGUAGGUGGUUACCCUGCUCCAAAGUAUUCAGGUGAAGUAGUUCCAGUUUGUAAAUCAAAUAAGAAUGAAUAAAGGUAAUAAACAACUUUGAAAAAUGAGGUGUUUAUACAGCUGUUUAAUCUUGCUGAUAGAGAAUCAGGUUCAGUAUGGGAAAGAAUAGCAUGGUUCAUAAUGUUAUAGAAUAAACUAAACUGUCUAAAAGAAAAGUUUCUAAAAUCAUCAGGACUUUAGAGAGAUACGAAGGAGGAUCUGUGUCACCCAGACACAUGCAGUACUCUAUUCUAGGAGGUGCCAGGAAAGCUUUGGGAAGACUACAGCUAAAAAAAUAUCUUUGUAGAAACGAUUUCGUGACUGAUAUCUACUAGUUACUUUAACCAGAGUAAUUCUGAAAUAAGUAUAUAAAUAUAUGGAUAGAGGAAAUUUGAUCUGGAAAGCAUGAUCCAUAUCAUUAAUGUGUAGUUAUAAAAGCCUAACAGAGGGGGUGUCUUGUUGAACUUCAACAAGGUACAUCAUAAAGCUCACACCACACUUUGGUUGUGUACAUAUUCUCCACAGUGAUCCUGUUUUCCCAGUUUUGCUAGCAUUAGGGGCUCCUUAUAGGCCACGUUGACCACAUUCAGCUGGACUCCAGGCAGAUACAGGAGCCUCUGACUCCACUCGCCUGGUUCCCCUUAGCAUGGGUUCUUUGAACUGGGAAGUAUAUAGGCUUUGGUGUAUAGGUUGUAUAUGCAGGAGAAGAUAUUUUUUAACAGCGGGGUCCUGUUAUUCUCCCAAACAUCUUUUCUACAUCUGCUUUGCAUGGAAGCAGCAUGCAAGCUGGAUGUAGCCCCUAAGCAACCAGUUUAGGCACACUAAACUGCUCCUCUAGUUCUCCAUUUGUCAUUUCAAAGUCGGGAAAAACUCAUAAUUAGUGUUGCCUGUGCAGUUCUAAAUCUGUUUCAGUGUGUAUGUCCAUCCUGAUAAGAGUGUUUAAUUACAUAGUCGUGGCCAUUUUUUUCUCAGUCAGUGAGAACCAUCAGUCCUAUAGCUAUUGAAAACUCUUCCUGUUACAUGUUCUUAGGCCUCACUCAUUGCUGGAUAGACAAGUCUUGUUAAUUCUCCUGGGUCUUUUCAGUGGUAUUUAUCACUGUUGUGUUUCAUGUGUCUUUCAAAUAAGAAUGAAUGUCUUUUCAUAUGUGAAAGGUUGCUACUGUUAUCAUUCUAUAAAGAGGAAUAGAGAAAAAUGGUUGACAUUAAAGUUGCUAAUUUUGAGCAUCCAAUCUGAGUUGUCUACAGCUUGGUAUUUGAGUCAACUACAAUACUACUGAAGCCCACUGACUUCUGCACAGCUUUUCCUCUGGAUGGCUUCUCCUUAUUGUCUAGGAUCAUCAGCAAGGACACAGACUGCUCUGUGACCUGUACUUGAGAUCUCCAAUACUGGCCCAGAACUGCGAUUGCUGACAAAACCUAAAUCCAAAAUGGACUUUGUUAUUCUGAACCAUGAAUUCUCCCUGGAAACACACGUACUGUAUAUGCUUUCUGAAGGUGACAGAUACCAUCUUUCAAAGAGGGGAGGAACAGUUAACACCUCUUUUCUUAUCCAGUAUGCUAUCAAUUACAAUUCCCAACUAGGCUGAGACAGGGGCUCCUAUUUUUGUUCUUUCUGAGGGUUUGCAAACCUAUCUGAUAUAUUGGGGAUUAUCUCUACCCUACCUGCAAAUUAUGUUGGAGCUGGAACAUCUUACUAACUCCUGUUAAAAUGGUUACAUUUUCAUGCAUAAGAGUUUGGGGCUGGGUAUUUUUUGUUUGGUUUUUUUUUUGGGGGGGGGCAGACAGGGAGUUAAACUCAUUUGAGGGUGGAAGAGACGAAUGUGAGUCUUUCACUUAAAUAUCAGAAUAUUCAUGUGCUGACAUUAAUAUUUCACUGUAUUGUAGCUCCUGUAUAACAGAAGUUCUUUAGCUGGAACAAAAUAUCUGACCAAUGCUCUUGACUGAAUCACCCCAUGCCCUGUUUUCUCCAACCUCACAAAAGAACUCAGUUUUAAGUCCAAAUACCCAAGUGUAGACAGAUAAAGCAGAAAUAAAACAGUGACAUUUUGGAUGGAUUUACUAAAGCCCCAAACAAGUGAAAAUGUAAUUUUAUGAUGGAACCUUUUGGUGAUACUUUGUCUCCUGUUUUAACUUACUGUUAUUUAAAUUGCUGCAGCAGAACUGAGAAGGGGGAAAGUUUCUGACUGUUUGUUUUUCUUAUAAUGAAAUAAUUUAAAUAUCCACAAUAAGAACCGUAGUAUAUUUGGCAUUGCCCUUCUUUGUGUACAGGUAGUUGGGUCACACUCAUUCUUUCCCCUUUAAACAGGAGUCUUAGCAUAAGGUCACAAUAGCUGUGAGCAAGUUUAUAAAUAUAGAAUAGGUUUUAUUUGAAAUACUGUUUUGGAAUAACAGGUGAUUAUUCUUAGUUUAAAGUUUUUUUUCAAAAUUAAGAAUUUAUAAUUAUGAAAACUGAAAAAGCGUGCAACAUUAGCAAGAGCUUAACCAGAAGGAAGGAAAAAAAAAUUUGAACUGAUUUUCAUGAAUUAGGGAGUUUUUUGGAAAUUUCAUUGGUCUUAUUGAUGGGAACCUUUUGAAGCUCAAUCAAGACAAAUGCAAAGCCCUGUACCUGGACAGUAAGAACACCUCCAGCACAAGCUGGGGGACAGCUCUGGUAAAGAGACCUGCGGGUCUUGGUGGACCACAAGCUGAACAAGCUUGAAUAAAAGCAGAGUUGCAAGAUUGAUUCCCAUGCUAUUGCUGGACAAUUGCAGGUUUAGCACACUUGUAUAUCUGGCAGCAUUUAGGACUUAGACUUCUGCAGGGAAAGAAACAUACAAAGUAAGUACUAAGUGCUGACCAUAUUUUAUUAAAGCAUGGCCUACGAGCUUUGACUAGAGCCUUUUGCAGCUUUGGUGACUGUAAACUUUAGCCUUGGCUGAACUGUCAAAAGAACAGAUUCCCAUGGGAUAGUCAGUAAGUUUGAUCACAUUUUCCAUGUAUCACAUCUGCGAGCCUGCCUGUUAAAGGCAAAAAUAAACAACAAACAAACCAGUUUUCAUGCCGCAGAACUUCUAAAAUGUCUAAAUCAGAAGAGUAUCAGCAAAAACAUUGCAGACUGAGAAUUCAUUUUGAGGGUUUUACAUAGCUUAAUCCAAUAACUGGCUGUUAUAUCCCAAUGAAAGAGUAGCCAACUGUCUAAUUUCUUUAGUCUUACUCAAUUGUUUUAGCUUUAUCCUCUGAAAGAUACUUCAGAAGACAUGAUCAGUAAAAAAAAGCAGCGUUUGCUCUACAAGGUUUACUAGUCUGGGCAUAAUGUGAUGCUAACAACUAGGCUGACAGUUUCGGUACUCACGCUCGUUUGUGUCCAACUGGGGAGGUACAUAUAGAAGGGUUGUUUCUGCUAGUCUAUAUCUCUCUGCCAAUGCCAUAUCGUACAAAGAAUAAGCUGUGAUUAUAAUAUAUGUGAUGUGGGAGGUCUUGAAAUAAGUUUUAAUCUCGGUGAUUGUCAGGAGAGGCUGAAUGGCUUUAGCACAGAGAACUGAAAAGUGUAUUUCUGAAUUGGUUUCACCUUUAUUUCAGAGAAAUCAGGAGGGUGGCAAUUUCAUAAUUUCUUACAAGUGUUAUAAAGAUCUAGAGAAGAAUACUGUUCAUUUGAAUUUGGAAGAGAAUCCAAGUGAAUGCUUUGCAUCAGUAAACUUCAGAGUGCUCUAGUAAUUCGUCGUGCUUCACAGGAAGAAAAGCAAAUUGAAGGAAGUGUGUGUGUAGUGUUCUUAGCACAGUUCUGGAUUUAGCUGAACUUUACUCUUCAGUUCACUGGCUUGCAUGACAUUAAGAAGACAAGAAAGGUCAGUCAAAUGGCAACAUCAAAAAGGUUCUUAAAUUCCAAGGAUGGCUCUUGACUUUGGCCAGGCUGGUGAAUCCUUAGCUAAUUGUCAUGGUAUACCAGCAGACAAGCACUCCACUCCAUAUGUAAAAUUAUGUUCUUUUGAUUUUUAAAUAACAUGCCAUGAUAUAGCAACAUUCCUGAGUUCCCACCACAAUAAAACAGAUUUUUUGAAUUUGCUACUUAAGAUUUCUAACAGAUUCUAAAAGACAGAGGCUUUGAUUUGUGUAAAGCUAUUCAUAGUACUGUUUAAGUUUUGACCUUCCCCUUGAUGUGAUUAGAAGUGGGAAUAUAAUUAAUAUUUCUUCACUAGGGCCAGCAGGUCAGUAGUUGCCCAGGAAAGGAAAAAUGUAAUAUCUAUGCCAAGUAGGAGCUCUGCUUUUUGAAGUUCUUUCUUGUACCAAGUGGGGUUUCAGUUUGGUAGAUAAGGGAGCUGUAAUCAAAACCUCAAAAUGCAAAAAUUAAGGACUCUUUGAACUACUUACAUUUGACCUACAAGUUUCUUUAAUCUCAGUGUAUCUCCUGAAUAGACCUUUAGCCAGUUUCACAUACAGUUAUUCACUAUACUCAACUCUUCUUCACAUGAAUGGUGCUGAAAAUUGUAGUAAGGCUGGCAAGCUUCCAGAGUUAGCAAACUGUUACAGGAGCACCUUCAUUCUUUGGAGAGCAAACAGUAAAGAAUAAAGGAGUGUUUCUCAAAUGUCCACAGAUGGAAAUUAGCCCUGAUCAUUUAUGGGUGGGUGCUAGCAGAAUAGUGGCAUAAAUUAAAAAUACCAAUAAAAUACUAUUCGAGUGAUUUAAUUGAAGACAUCAAGGCCAACUAGUUCAAGAAAGAAAAUGAAAAGAAAUAAUUCCAGAGAUGACUGCUGAUUUAACUUGUUGCAAUUAAUACACUUCAGUGCCCUUGAAAUGCCUCAAAUUGAUGAAUGCAAUGGUAAUGACUACUGAAUCCAUCAAAAAUAAACACAUUCAUUGUGGCUGACUUUUGAAUUUAAAACAACCAGAACAGAAAGUUAAGCCAUCAGGCAAAUUUGAGGCAUCUCACCCCUGGAGUGUUCUCAUUUCUUGUGUAACAUAACGCCUGUGCACACUUAGUAAGAGGAAACUGGAGUGAAUGGGCAAGACCUACAGAGGUGAUGAAAACCAUCAUGUAACAGAGUUUUCUGUAAGUUCCUAAGAGAGAUUUAUGCAUCAGUUCACUUCCAGGCUGAAUACAUUUUGCAACUGUGGGUGUGCAUGACCACUGAGAGAAACUUUUCUGUGCAUAAGUACAUAUUGAUUGUUUCUAGGUACUCCACCAUGAGCAUUACAUUUGUUCUCCCAAGGCAAAAAGCCAAGUUACUCCUUGGAACUAUUUUUUGGAUUCUGUUAAAUGGCAUUUAACAGAAUGUAUUGUAAUGAUUCAAACAGCUGAAUGGACAGAUCCUGGCCAGACAAAUUAGUGCCCUUUAAAAAUUUUGUGAACACUGGGCCUACUUUUUGUUAUGCAGUGGAAUGAGAAGUUUCAAUGCCUUUAGAAGACCUGCAAAUAGAUGCCACUGUGGAUGCAUACCACAUCUUAAAGCUGAUAUCCCAGAAUUCCAGAUACUGAAUCAACAGCUAUUGUAUGGGUGGCUUCAAUUGCAGUAUAAAUACAUAUAAUGAUAAUAACAGCAUUAUAAUUGAUUGUCUAAUAAAAAAUAUUAAACAAUAAACCUGAAAGCUAAAUGUAGGAUAGAAUAUUUCAGUUGGAAGGGAUCUACAGUGAUCAUUUAGUCCAACUGCAUGAUGGCUUCAGGGCUGACCAUCAGUUAAAUACGUUAAGGGCGUUAUCCAAAUGCCUCUGAAACACUGAAUGCCUUGGGGCACCAACCACUUCUCUGUGACUGAAAUGCAGGAUGGAAUCCCUAAGAAUCCCUUAUAGGUAACUGCUCCAAAGAAUUGCACCUUAGUCACAUGGUUCCAUUUUAUAAGGAAAGACUGUACUAACUUUCACUACUUUAUUUAUAAUAUAGUUACUGUUUUUUAUUUGCUCUGAAAGAUACAUAGGGUUUUUUUUGGGGGGGAAGAGGGGAGGCUGGGGGGAAACCCCUUCUGACUAUAUUGUUCCAGCCAUCUUAAUUUUAAGUUAUAAUGGGCAAAUUCCCAACUUUCUGGUAUUCUCUGUUAGAAGCCAAUCCCAAGCCUGUCACUCUGAUGGUAAGGAAGAAAGUCUUUGGAGAGGCAGCAUCUCAUUUGCAGUGAAUUCCUGGAUGGUUUUUCUUAAAUUGGCUCUUCCCCAGGAGUAGCUUAAAUGUGGUUAUCCAUUUAAAUAGUUUACUACUGGGAAAACAAUGCUCUAUAAAGUACAAGAUCUCAUUUGCAAAGGAGGUCCUGGGGACUGAAAGUGGAUAUACACGUGCCAUGUGUUGCAGUCUCCAUCUUCUUCUUUUCCUGCUGUUCAGAAAUAAUUUGAAAAUUACCUAAAAUAGGAACAGUGUAUUCAAUGGCUGAUCAACAGGCUCAGAUCUGUCUCCUCAGCAGAACCUGCAGUGGUAGCCUCCAGCAAUAGUUCCUGUAGUCCACAGAAAAAAAAGAAACGAGUGGUUAUUGGGAGGAACAGCACAGCCUCUUCCCAGGAAGGAUGUCUCAGAGGAAAGGCUUGGCUGUGGUGUGUAGGAGCCUCUGGCCAUGACUGUACUACUAAAGUGGAUAUGCCUAGGACUGUUCUUUGGUCAUGAGAGCAUCUGCCCAUAGCAGCUUGUGUCCAUGCUGAUUUAAAAAAAAAGAGGGGGAAAAAAAAAGGAAUAAGUCUCAUGCUCUGAAACAGAGAGGCUGCCUCAAAAAUUUCUGGCUGGGUGAUGCUCUCUUGAAUCAUGCCUAUGCUAAAGUAUGCCAAGGAUAGGUCUGAGAGCAACAAAAGUUACUGGCUUUCAGUACAACAUCUCUUCUCAGAGAUCCCUUGGAAUUAUAUAAUAAAAGGGUUUUCUCUUCCCCUAAUUUAGGUACAGAAUAAACUAAAUCUUUGGGUCAUUCAUGCUUAUUAAAGAGCCCAAACCAUGAGCAAUAAAAGUUCUAGGGAGACAAGGCUGCUUUCAUACAUCCAACGUUUCUUCACUUGACAUUAUAGAGAAUAUCUCUGAGGAAAUAUACUUCAAAACCAUAACAGGCACAAUGACUGCCCUGAAAAUAACAGCCCUCUUAUUAAUGACAAAUGAGCACUGGCUCUUGUUACUUAUAUGCUUCCUUGAAACAUCAGAAAAUGUUUUAAACACUAUCACAAAGUCCAGUAAUGUGAUGAUAUUUGUUGGAACUAAACCUACUAUCAUCUGUAGUUUUAGUUUUAUUGUCCAACAGAAUUAAAAAAAAAAACAAACUCUCAGAAGUAAUUGUCUAUGUUCUUUUUGGUUUGUUUUUUUUUAUUUUAUUUUUUUCUUUUAAUUUUAUUUUACUCAAUGCUCCUUUCAGCCUGUUGUGCAUUCCAUGUUUGGCUGCAGUCUUUUUGGAGAGUUUAAAAGACUUCAGAGACACAUCUUAGAGUUUUAACACAGCUACAAAGUGUUGGGACAAAAUGGGGAGAUCUUCAAAUGCGAGUAAUUCUCUGCUGUAGUGUCUAUAGCAACAGUGGUACACACUUUUCUUAGCAUACUAUUAGCAUUAAAAUUUAAUAACAUGUAGGGGAUAUCUGGGCUGUUACACAUAGAUGAAGAAGACAAAAGUCCUUUUCAGGUAAAGUACAUAACUUCAAAAUAUGCAUAUUUCUCCCGUAUAUUCCUCAUUUUUUCUGUCAUCUAUUUUAUCAUAAACAAAAACUAAUUACAGUCUCUGAAGGAAGCAGUAAAAUUAAAGAAUGCAGGUACCACUCCUAGGUUUUCCAAAUUCUCUAAAAAACAGUGAUUUAGAUUUUCUAAAUUGACACAGUUACUAUAUUCAAUAAAUUAUUUUUAUUUAUUUUUGAGAGGGUAACUUGGAGAAGUGAGUUGAAGUUUCAUAUACUUUAUAAACCCAGCAUUUUAUCAUCAACUGUUUGUGUUCUUCCCUAAACAAUGGUUUCUAUUAGUGUCUUGUACGAUUACAUCUUUUUGAUUAUUAAUGGGUUCAUAAAAUAUAUUUUUUUUACCCUAUUUCUAUUUCAUUGUUCAUUCUAUCUGGGAAGGAGUUUUCUUUCUAAAAAGACAAAGAGCCCAGUUGCCUGAAUGUAAUUGUAUUCACAGUUUACUUUAAGCAGAAAUUUUAGUUGAUCUAAAGUAAAAAAAGGUUGGUUUUUAGCUGUAAGCCAAGUCAACAGAAGCUGUGCUUUCCCAUUUUUCCCUUUUAUUACCUAAUUGUUAUUCCUUAUUGCAAAGUGUCUGCCAUUAUGUUAUUUAUUUAUUUUGCAGCAGGUUCCUUUUCCUUUACACUUGUUCUAAGGGGUAGUAAACCCUUAAUGCCACAGUGACCAAUGGUAAAUCACGGUGUCUGACACUAGGAGACAAAAGAAGCAGGAGGAAUCUGUGAAAAAUGCCUGCAAGAAGCGAAGCACAGCAUGGAUGGAGAUGAUUCACAUCUCUGCAGUGAAUCUUCAGUAAAAGAUGGAAGAACUAAAGUAAAGAAGGACUACUGUUGAUUCCCAAACAUGCUUAAAACAAGAAGGUUAUUCCCCCUGACUGAGUUGGUGAGUUAAAGAAAAAAAGGCAGCUAGCAGCACUGUGAUGGCAGCAUUUCACCUUGCUUGGUUUGUACUGGGUCUUUUUGUCAUCAGCAGAUGAAUGGGAAAUGAAUGGAGAGAGAUGGCUGCCAUGGAUAGUAUUUGCAGAAUUAAGCAGAUGAAUAUCAAAUACCUUUGAUUAGCCACAAAGAGAAUUUACAAGUGGUAAAGGGGUAAAUGAAGAGAUUUAUUCCUGCCUCUCCUUUUUUUUUUUUUUCCAGGAACAAUGAACAGAAAUAUUAGUGUAUUAGCACUGGAACUAUUUUGUAAGUCAGACACAGCAAAAGGCUUAUUCUUGAGUACUUGUGGAUAACCUGCUUGCAGUUUACUGUGGCAUUACUGUGAAGGACUCAAGAGGGCAAAUUCAGGACCUUGGACAGAUGUUAAGAUCUUCUUUUAUAUAAGACGGAAUUUCAUAUGCUUUAUUUAAAAUUUCUGUAGUAAAAUAUACAGGUAUGUGUUCACCCUCUGAGUGCCAAGCAGCAUCGGCCUUUAAUUUUAAACUGUUAUUAUAACACUAGUAAAAUAAGUUUGUAAAGGCCAGUAUAAAUACAAGGCUUCAGUAAAUAUACUGCCUUUUCUGGUCUGAGUGGUGCAUUUAUAUUCAUACGUCUAUCACUUUGUUAAUGAGUUUUCUUCUAUAAAUUGACCCUGACUGCUACUGUAAAGUAUAGCUUAAAUGAAGUGUGGCUUUGAGACCAGGCAGAUUAUUAAAAUAUUAAGGGAUAUACAUUGAAUCAUAUGACUAUCUUUCUUGCUAAUAUUUCAAGACCAAAUACUUUUUGUCUGAAAGAUGACCUUUGAUGAGGAAACUUAUGGUCCAAGAUGUACAAAGCUCCCUUUGGAGCUUUUAUUUUAUCUUCCUUUUUCUUGCAUCUUUUAGUCAUUCACACAUCUGCAAAAUGGAUUUAAAAUGGCAUCACUUAACCGAGUAGCCUUUGACACUUAUUUCACUUAAAUACAGAUGAGUGUUUAAGGCACAAAACACAGGAAAACUGCAUCCCUUGUCUUCUCUGUGAAAUAUAAACAUGAGAUGGUGGCAGAAAUUAGUAUAUUCUGGGUGUAAGCAGCAAGCUCAAUUCUUAGUGGGCACGUUUGUAAAAUCAAAACAAGCUCUUUCUAUAAUCGUAAGAAAGAAUGUAUCUGGCUAAGUGUUUAUGUACUCAAAAGAAACGCAUGUAGUGCUGGAGAUUUCUUGCAAAAAUAUCUAUGUGCCUGACUAGGGCAUCACAAUGCCUUUAUUAGGAUUUUACACUGUGUCCUUAUGUUUUUCCUACUGAUUGUCACUCCAAUACAUAUACUGUAAAUUAAUUAGUUUAAUACCCCUAGUGAACAGAAAAUCAGUGUCUGUUAUCAGUAUUUAUAUUGAUGAGAGAAAAUUCUUAAUUAUGUUUAAGCGCAUACAUGUAUGUGCAUAGACAAAUUCUGAUUUUUAUCGUACAAGUCUCAGUGAGCUACUCAGCUACUAAGUACCAUAUAAGUUGCUUGAGAUAUUGUGACCAGAUGGUUCACAGGGCUAGUAAUGGAUUAUAGUUCUUUCCAGCUCCAGAUUGCCAGUUCAAAUCUGGGUCAGGUUGACACUGUCUGAAAAUUAUUACUGUUUGGUGGCUCAUGUGAAAUAAGUUGGAGACCUCAAUAUAGUUCCUAAAGGCUGGGUUAAUAUAACACAAAUGUCACCAGAUGAUUGUUGGUUUCAGGGCUCAGGCUGAAGCACACUGAAGUCAGUGGAAAAACUUCCAUUGAUUUCAGUGGGUAUUGAAUUAGGUCUUAAUUAUGGAGAAUGACUCCUUUGAGCUCUCGGAAGUGGUUAUUUACAAGGGGACGAAGGAUCUCCAUGAACUGCUCCUGGGAGACACGUAGUGCUGCCAGCUAGGAUAAAGCAGAAAGAGGUGCUCAUCUGUCCUUGUACUUCAUGGAAUAUGAGGAUAUCAGGAGGGGCCAAUUCCUGACUGAAAUACACUAAUCUUACUUAGUUUGGGUAAGAGUGGGUUUAUUCUGGCAGAGCGGUAGAGAGUCAAAACCUCUCUGAAAGUUCAAAAUAUCAUUCUCUUGUUAGGUUUGGUGCUGUUGAACAGGUCACACAAAUGGCUCCUAAAUUUUUUGCAGAUCAUCUGCUCUCAUCUAAGGAUAUUUUUGGUUUUGUUUGAACAGCAGAACUCCUUUGAACUCCACAGAGGAUUACCUGGCUUCAGUUCAAGGCAUAGUUUGUCACCCCCCAGGCUCCAUUAGUGCAACAAUGAAUGAGAAAUAACUUGAUCCUUGGGGAUAAGAGCCAUAGGGAAGAAAUAUUAGAUAUUAAAGACUCUUUAGUUUGACUGACUGAAAAUUUAAACUACACAGGUUAAAAUGGGAAAUGAGGCACAGUAUUAUCACAGUAGUUGGUUAGCAAGUGGAUCAAACCAGUAGGAAAAAUGGAGGCGUUGCCAUUUCAAUCACAUCAAGUUCAGAUACAUGUCCAGAAGAUAUGCAUUAAUCAGACAUGCCACUGAUUAUGUCCAAUAACACUGUGCAUUGUGAUAAUUAUGUAGUAUUAUUGCCAGGGGAAUAAAAAAAAGAGAUAAAACUGAGCCACUAGUCUAUUGAACUACAUGUAUUCACCCCUGCCUUCCACUCUCUUUUGAGUUUGGUUUCUAGUCCUACUCCAGAGGCACUCAAGUACAACUAUGAUUGCAUAAUUUCUGUACCCCUUAAAUGAAAUGAAUUAAAAUUCCAGAAUCAGUUCUUGUCUGUACAUCUGAGAACAAAAUGUCUAACUCCUUUGACAUCUUUCAAUGAUAAGGUCACCUGUCUAGUGAAUGGAGGAAUUGUUGGAUAUAACAGUUCUGGGCCCCACCAUUUAAGGAGGAUGUGAAGGAACCUGAGUGCAUCCAGAGGAGGACAACAAAGCUGGUGAAAGGGCUGGAAGGUGUGUCCUGUAGGGAGUGGCUGAGGACCUUGUAUUUGUCUAGUUUAAAGAGAAGGCAGCAGAGGAGUGACCUCAUUGCUCUCUAAAGCUUUCUGAGGGGGGGAACUGGAGAGGGAGGCGAUAAUCUCUUCUCCCUUGUAUCAAGUGACAGCAUGUCAUUCCAUGUGGGAAUGGUUCAAAGCUGCAUCAGAAGAGGUUCAGGCUUGACAUUAGGAAGCACUUCUUUAGAGUAAGGGUGGUCAAACACUGGAACAGGCUUCCGAGAGAGGAGCCAGUCAGUGUUUGAAAGGCAUUUGGAGCAUGCCCUUAAUAACAUGCUUUUACUAUUAGCCCUGAUCAGCCCAAACUGGUGUCACAGUUGGACUAGAGGAUUGUUGUGUGUCCUCUCCAACUGGACCUAUCCUAUCCUAACUUAUCCUGUCCUGUCCUAUCUUACCCUGUCCAUCCUAGUCAAUAAAACUAUAAUUUCUUUUUAAAAAGUCCCUUUUGUUUCUCCUUCAUCUAAACUUUAAUGGUUUUGUGUUUAGUUAGAUGCUGGUGACUUGGGAAUUUUACAUUCUACCUACAUAUUCUAAAAAAGUUUCAGGUUUGCUGUUGAAUUGCCAUAUUUUAGAAUCCCUCAUUUGUUUACCUGUCUAGUAUUUAGCUUAGUGGAAAAUAACAAACUUGACCUGUUUACCAUUGAUAAAUGGAAAUAAUUGAUACUUUAAGGAUGUUCCCCUCCAGUAGGAGAACAAAGAAACCAGAUUUUGGGACUGGUCGGAGAACAGAAAAAAUCAGAAACAGACAAAAGCAUUUUUAUAGUAGAUAGUAUGGGUGAGGGAAUAUGGCUGGGGUAAAAAUUAGAGGAAAUUGAGAAGUUGUAUUCAUACCCUAACAGAAGUUAUAAUGGUACAGAAAUUUUAGGGUAAAAUGCAGCUACUACUUCCUGGAUGGGAUGCGGUUGGCAGCUCCAUGAUCAUUCCCCAUACAACAGCAAAGCACCUGCUAAGGCAGAUGGAAUAGAGGGUGGAGUGGAGACACAGCAGCCAGGCUCUGUGGUAAUCCUUACAGGGAGGGCAACUCAAUGGUACUUUGCAACUGAUAAACUGCCCAGUACCUGUCAACCAAGGGAGAUAGGAGAUAUCCUGCUUCUGAGCCAACAAUGGUGGUGAAAUCAUUCUCCUCAGAUGAACUUGGUUCAUUAAAGCCUAACUGUAAUAUUAACAUACACCUCCAUCCCAAAGUUUCCUGCUUCCAAGGUGUGACCACCUUCCACUGGGCAUGUGCUCUAUAUUUUUUUGACUGUAUCUUUAAAAGUGAAGCGAGAGAAUUUUUACACCAAUCAGUAACAAAGGUAUUUAUGACUAGAGUCACUCAAGCUCUAUCUAAACAUAAAAAAAUAGUAUAAAAGUAAGCCAAGAAUGGGGAAAAAGUGAGGGAAGACUCCAUAGUAACUGCUGGGAUCUGUCAAUGGGCUGGACCUAUCUUCUUCCUCACUUCUUGGGUAAGAACUGUACUCUAUGCAUGCUGAAUACUUUUACUGGGAUUAGAGCUUGUCUGUGUUGUGCCUUGAAUAUGUUUUCGCAGUCAGAUACUAUCACCGGCAAUCCUUGAACCUGUCACAGUUUUAUAUUAAUAAAGAGUGUUAUUCCCUAAGCUGUUAGUGGUGGUCCUUCCUGGGCAGCAGAGGGUAACACACUCAAAUAAAGUGGGAAGACCCACUGAGGGGUCUCCAUUAUGCUGUUGGCAUAAGGGAGUUCCCUGACAAGGGCAGUGAAAUUGCCCUCUGAUCCAGUGGGACUGUUUGGUGAAGGAUCCCCAUAACGGGACACUGACAGACUGGUCAAGCAUGAGGGUCUCGGCUUUCCUGGGGCACUAACAGACAAAUCAAACACUAAGGGUUGAAGAAAACUCCCAUUUUUAUGUGACAAUGGGCGUUCAAUUUAUUCUUGAGAUCAAGAGCAAGAUAAUCCACAAUACAAUUUGCAUGGAGGGAGAAACCUGAAGGAAAUAAAUCAAUGAUAAUUUGUGGCUUUUGUUCAGGCCUUUACUGACUUAAAUAGGAAAGCAGGAGUGUUUUAAAUGCAGAACUUACUGUUAUAUUAUGUCAUAUUUUCUCGAAGAGAUUAACUCACAAAACAGAAAAGUCACAUCUUCAUUGGGAUACUGUCAAGCAGGUGAAGGGGGAUGAGAGACAGUUCCAAGUUCAACACCUAGCAUUUGGAUGAAGGAUGAUGUUCCUAUUACCAGAAGACAUCGGACGUCAAAUCUGUGCUUGAGCUAUGAUAUGAACUUGGAUAUGGUUUGAAACUUGCUUGAUUUUACAUUUUGUUUGCAUUUACUUAGCAAUGAAUAACUGAUGGUAGUGUUUAAUGAGAAUAAUCACAUCAUAGAAUCAUAGAAUGGUCUGGGUUGGAAGGGACCUUAAAAAAUAUCUAGUUCCAACUCUCCUGACAUGAACAGGAACACCUUUCACUAGACCAGGUUGGUCAGAGCCCCAUCCAACCUGACUUUAAGCAAUUCCAGGGAUGGGUCAUCCACAGCUUCUCUGGGAAAAAAGGUUGUUAUGUCUUUUCUAUUAAACUUACCUUGAUUUUAAUGAAGAUAAUUAAGAUCACUUUGGCUGCUUUCUUUGCGUGUGUAUAAACGAAGUAUUGCCCAUCAAAAAGUUUAGGAUGGCUGAUACAUGCAUAAAAGAAACCUAUAGAAGUUGUUUAGAUUUACACAUGAGUUUAGGGAAGCCUAUUUUUCAGAUUCCUAAAAUGUUUCAGUGUCCUGUAUUUAACUUCAGAUGUAAAUCUAUUACGUUUGUGUGCAUAUAUAAAAUGUGCAAUAUGAAAUGCUAUUUUCUUUGUAAAGCAAUUACCUUCUCAUUUAGCCAUAUGAUUUAGAAUAAUUUACAUAGGAAAAUAAUUUAAAUAUGAUAUUGUUUUAUGAAAUCUCACAAAAAAACCUUCUCCUUUGCAUUAAUUAUCUUUUCUCUGCUACUUUCCCUCCUCCUCCUUCAACUGUCUCAGUGACUUUAAAGUUUAUUUAAUUGGCAGGUGUAAUGAGUGAGAACACAAAAUCUGUGUUGAAUGAUCACAAAUCCUGAGCACUUCACUUGAAGAUAUACCUUUUUCCAUAUGCCUGUGUCAUUUCCAUUUACACAAUCAGCAGUUGUCAAAGUCUAAUUGCUUAGUGAGAGGCACUAAAAUUCUUGGUGAUAUCACAGAUUUAUACUCUGUUUUUCAGAAUGUGCCUGACCUAAAAAGGAGGGGAGAAGAAGCUUCGUAAUGUCUUCUCGAGGUUAAUCAAUGUACCAACAAGGAAUGAUUGCCAAUACAAACCUGCAGAAUGGAGUAUUUGGGGUCAGAAAAGCACUAAAGCUGAGUGGGGUGUUUCCACAUUUUCAAUUACCUUUUCAGCCAAAGUGCCAUGGCGAGGCCAUUUAUACCACCCUCUUCCAUAAAGAUGUAGUGCUACAGCAACUGUGAUCUUCCUGUACUUUGGCAAGGGAGAAGACAGCAGCAGAACAUGAGGAUCCACUUUGCAAAGGCUUUCAUGGUUGUGAAACUGAAGGAACUUGAAUUUAAACCUUCUGUGAAUGACUUUCCUAGAGGUACUGUAUUCCAGUAAAAUCCACUGCCUUGUUUUUUCAUGGGCUGUGUAAUCAAAUAUAAUGACAUCUAUGAUAAUUUGAAAGUUCUGAUGUGCUCAAAAGUGAGGAGAAAGCAUGUUGGAGCUUCUCAGCAUGUCAAUGAGUGACCCCACCACCAAACAGCUGUUAUUUGAUGAUGUGCUGUGGAGAAGCCAGAUAAUUUAUGUCCUUUUUAUCCGAAAUUGUUACACUCCUUUACAUACAUCUCUCUUGAGUCUCCCAAUGGCAUACAAAGCCCAGAGAAAUUACAGUAAAAUCAGCCAUCCAUCCAUCAGCUCAGGCAAAUAAAUUUACUAAUUUAGUCUUCGUUUGCUUUUGCCUUUUGGUUUUGUUUUUUCUUUCUUAAAUAAAGGAAUUGUUAACUCAGUGCUCUGUGAUAGUUUAAUCUCACUGUAGUGAAGAGCUGUGGUAUCACACCUAUCCCCAUUCUUUUUAAUCUUCAUAUUAAAUCUUCUACACACACCCCAAGCAUGAGGGAGAAGAUAGACUGUACAUUGCCAUCCUUCCUAAUGCUCUUCCUCAUUGUCAGUUUUCUUCCACUCUUAAUUCUCCCUCAAGGGUCUGAUGAUAUGACAAGUUUUUCCUGUACACUGAGUCCUUUCCAAAGACCAGCUUCUCUGUCCCAAUAUUUGCUUCUCUCAUUACACUAAACUUCAGAUGUCUGAUAUCCCUGGGAAUGACACUUUUUCUUUCCACAUAAAAGGAAAAAAAAAAGAAAAAAAAGUGGUGUUCUGGUGGCUUACCUGUCACUAUGACUUUGACAAAGAAAACUACAAAUCAAAGAGAUUUUAGUACUUGGAUUGGCUAUUUUAGGGGUUAAGUGGACAUCGGAACGCUACAUUUGGGGAAUAAUUUGGACUGAUCACUAUGUUUUAUAAGUAGAAUGAAGGCAAAGCAUGAAACUGUGUUUGAUUGUCCACUUGCUUGUCCAUCUGCAUGGCAUAUACCUGCCAAAGCAGGGCAGAAUGCUGCCAUUUCACUUUUUCACCUGUAAACGUGUGGGUGAUAUUUGGGGCUACAGCUAAUUAAGAAAUUCUUGCAGAACAGAUUUUCUGAGAGACAGUGCUGAGUCAACAAAGUUGGAAGGUUUCACAAGGGAUAUUUAUGCAUGUAUGUAUCUCUAAUCCAGUCUCACAGGAAGUUAUUAAAAUGUUUGGUUCCAAAAGGUCAGUGCAUUCUGUGUUUGAUAUAAUUUAUUAUAUGGAAAUUGAAAUAGUAAGGCAGAAGCAAAUAUUCUUAUCUUUUAUGAAAAACCUUCUUUGAAUGCUAUUUUUUUACAGAAUAUUGCCUUUUUCUCCAUAUUUCUCAGUCUCAGAAUAUCCAGGCUUUGCCCAAGCCCAGAAAGGUCAGUUUCAGGAAGUUCUUUUGGUGUCAUUAUUCAACCAUCCGAGUUCUGUUCAAGUUUCUAUGCCUUUGUAGGAAAAAGGGAAAGAUAAUACCAAGUCUGUCUGUAUGUAUAGACAUUACAUGUGUAGACAGGACAAGAAGUAAUGGCCAUAAACUAUAACACAAGAAGUUCUGCCUCAACAUGAGGAAGAACUUUACACUAAGGGUGGCAGAGUACUGGAACAGGCUGCCCUGGUCAUGAAGUCUCCCUCUCUGGAGGCAUUCAAAACCCUGGGCAUGUUCCUGUGUCACCUACUCGAAGUGACCCUGUCUUGGUGGGAGAGUUGGACUGGAUGAUUUCCAGAGGUCCCUUCCAACCCUAACGAUCCUGUGAUCAUGUGUGCCAUUAACUCUACUGUUGGAAACAUUACUCCAGUUUAUAAAAUCUAUUCUUUAGAACUUCCAUUACUUCUAUGAGCACACAUCUUCCUUGGAAAUUGUUUCUUUCUUGCCCAUGAGCUCUUUCUGUUCUUUAUUUUUUCACGCCUCUUCAAGACACUAAAUGAAUGAUACUAAUAUUUGUCACAAAGAGCUGUAAACCUUUCUGAAGUAUUAAAAUACACUGAAACCUGACAAAGCUUCCAUCACAACUUGCUAAACUGGGUGACUAUGCAGAAAAUAAUCAAAUUAUAACAUUUUAUUCAAAAUACAUUGUAUUUUACUACACAAAAAGAAUUAGUGUGGUAAACACACUUAACAGAGAAACAAAAUAGAUUACAUUAUUGCCUUUGACAAAAGCACUGAUGUAAAUGGAAUUUAUUGGAAUUCUCGAAACGACAAAAAGAAUUUAACAGUGAUAAUUUCUUUAAUGCUUACUUUGAAGCCACUGGCAAAAUAUAGUGACUCCAUUUAUGGCUGAUUUCAUCCAAGUCAUUGUUGUUCCUGAAGUGGGAGCUAUUUUCUAAAUAAAAUCUAUAUUAUCUGCGUAUCACAGGCCCUUCUGGAGGUUUGAAGCUAGAAGGAACCAAUAAGAUCUGCAUUAUACAAUACCUACAAUGUCACAGAUGGACUUCUGCAGCUGUGUGACACACCAGUACUGCUUGUCUGCAACUCCAAGCUGCUCCAUUACUGCAUUUCACUAAAGGCGUCUCAGGUGAAAACGGGGAACAAGGUUAGGAACACAACUAAUUUUGUAGGUUUGUUUCCAAGCAGUCUUCUCCCAGGAGUGCAUUGCUUGUCUUCCCGUGCCACAGGGGGAAGCAUGUCUGCCCCUGAGCAGGUGCCCAAGCUGGUGGGUACAGGCUGGUACAUGACUGGUGUGUGCUGGUGCAUUGGGGCACAUGGCUGGAGCUGGCAUCUGCCCUGCUCCUGUAUGGCAGGACUGACUUGAGACACAGGCACUUAAAAAAGGAGUUUGUGAGUCUUGGCAUUGGUAAAUCAUCCAAAUUUGGCCAUUCAUUUAAAGAUAUGUAUUUUAUUGUUCUGUAGGAAAACUGUCAGGCAACUGAUUCUCAUCAGUGAAAAGCAGCCUGCUGCAUUUUUUCCUUUAUUUUAUCAUUGGAAUUCAACUGGCAUUAAAUAACAGCAUAUUUAUAUUUCUCUGCAUUUAUUUCUUUUUUCCAGUUCUGGAAAGUGUCCUUACCUAGCAAACUAUUUGAGAAAAGGACCCUUACAGCCUUAUGUUAGGACAAAGAUGUUGAUAUAUUUGGACGGUUCCAGUGAGAUCUGGGUGUGUGUACAUUGCAAAAUUAGCAAAGUCACACCCUGUAAAAUAAAUUAGUUAUAUCAGUGGAAAGGAGGGAUAAUUAUGUUAAUACUGGAAGCAACUGCCCAUGUAGCUGCUUCAGUCAAAUACCCCAGCUCUACCAGUACACCUUUCUCACUCUGCCGCAGACUCUUCUCACUGAUGGCCGUCAAUCACGGAAGGUACGUGGGGAAGGUACGUGGUGAACGUCCCUUCUUUCCCAGGAAAAAAGGGAUUUAAGAAUAUGUAUGGUGCUUUUCUGAAUUAUAGUCUCUGCUUUUAAAUAUAUAUAAAUGAUCAGUUUAACAUGGGAAUUUGCAUUUCUCAGCCCUCAACUGGAGCCCUGUCUUUAAAUUCAAGGUGUUAUCCCUAGAACAGCAACAUUUUUCUUCCUUGAUUGCACCCUACCUGAUGUUCCUGCAGGCAUGUUUCAGAAUACUAGUCAUCAGGAUUUGCAUAUCUAUUUUAGCUCUCUUAAAUUGUGUCUUUACAACAAUGCAAUGACAGAAUUUUUCAUCCCAAAUGACAUUCUGUUUCUGGAGGGUCAGUGCUUUGUGUUUUUUGUUUGAAAUAGCACAAGAGGUACAGCUAAGGGCUGGGGAUGAAAAAUUGCUAGAUCUUACAAUCAUCAUCAGGAGCCUCCACAAAGGAACAAUGGCAAUAAUAACAAACAUAUUCAUCUGUGAAAUCCAUAGGAUUUGACUAAAAACUGCUUUCCUAUCUCUUUAAAUAAAUACUUAAUAUUCUGUUUAAAGUUUAGCAACAACAACAUUUAGGAAUCACCAUGUUACUCUGAUUCAGUAUGAGCUUGCCUAAUAGAUUAUUCUGUCCCUGACAGCAGUCAAUACUGGCUGUUUCAGAAGAAGGUACAAGGAACACAUUAAUGAUCAAUUAUGGAAAAAUCUGCCUUUUGGGCAGCAAUUCACAAUUUUUAUGUGCUGGUCACUUUUUGCAAAAAGGAUAAUACUGGGUGUACCAAACCACUACAUGGAGAUAUGAAUAAUGGGUUUUCUGCCUUCUCUUAUAAAUGUUCUUUGAGCAGUCUAAUAGUUUAAAAAGUCAAGGUGGUCCAUAAUUAAAUUAUGAUCCAUUGGGUAUUUCUUGGGUUCUUUCUCUUUUUUUUACUUUUCAGGGGUUGGUAAGGGAGCUUCCCAGCUAUUGCGUAAUGAUACUUCAGAGUUCCCUUCCUCUAGCAAGAGAGAACCUGAAAGAAUAAUUCUGGGAUUACACUGUUUAGGACCCUGAAGAACAACUCAGAGAUGCGUGUCUUGCUCCCAUCUUUGCCAGCUUCAGUUCAUUUUUGUGGCCUUUGCAGAAGGCUGCAUUCCUCACUUUGAGAAAUCUUGCAGAAUGAGGUUGUUCUUCCAGACUCUGAGUUCCAUGUUUUGUGUGUUUACGUCCAUGCAUUGUAAGUGACUAAAUAGAAAUCUUGUGAUUGCAGAAAUGUGAGUUAAUAAUAUUCCUUGAUAAUUUCUAUUUGGAAAAAUGGCCAUGUGCCUUAACCUAACAAAACCUUUUGUCCUUCUUGAAUUCUGAUCAUGCUACUAUUAGGGCAUUUUUUUAACCUACUGAAUAAAAGGCUAUUUCAAAUUU